rnacentral:rRNA from 1 species
UACGUAGGGGGCAAGCGUUAUCCGGAUUUAUUGGGUUUAAAGGGUGCGUAGGCGGCCUAUUAAGUCAGGGGGGAAAGACGGUAGCUUAACUAUCGCAGUGCCUUUGAUACUGAUGGGCUUGAAUGUACUUGAGGUAGGCGGAAUGUGACAAGUAGCGGUGAAAUGCAUAGAUAUGUCACAGAACACCAAUUGCGAAGGCAGCUUACUAAAGUAUGAUUGACGCUGAGGCACGAAAGCGUGGGGAUCAAACAGG